rnacentral:rRNA from 1 species
CCUACGGGAGGCAGCAGUGAGGAAUAUUGGUCAAUGGACGGAAGUCUGAACCAGCCAUGCCGCGUGCAGGAAGACGGCUCUAUGAGUUGUAAACUGCUUUUGUACAAGGGUAAACCUGAAUACGUGUAUUCGGCUGAAAGUACUGUACGAAUAAGGAUCGGCUAACUCCGUGCCAGCCGCCGCGGUAAUACGGAGGAUCCAAGCGUUAUCCGGAUUUAUUGGGUUUAAAGGGUGCGUAGGCGGAUUGAUAAGUUAGAGGGUAAAUGUCCGAGCUUAACUCGGGAACUGCCUCUAAUACUGUUGAUCUAGAGAGUAGAUGCGGUAGGCGGAAUGUAUGGUGUAGCGGUGAAAUGCUUAGGGAUCAUACAGAACACCGAUUGCGAAGGCAGCUUACCAAUCUAUAUCUGACGUUGAGGCACGAAAGCGUGGGGAGCAAACAGGAUUAGAUACCCUAGUAGUC